UACGGGGGGGGCAAGCGUUGUUCGGAAUUACUGGGCGUAAAGGGCUCGUAGGUGGCCAACUAAGUCGGACGUGAAAUCCCUCGGCUUAACCGGGGAACUGCGUCCGAUACUGGUUGGCUUGAGUUUGGGAGAGGGAUGCGGAAUUCCAGGUGUAGCGGUGAAAUGCGUAGAUAUCCGGAAGAACACCAAAGGCGAAGGCAGUGUCCUGGCUGGUACCUGACGCUCAGGUGCGAAAGCGUGGGGAGCAAACAGG
rnacentral:rRNA from 1 species